GAUUAAGUUAUUAAGGGCGCACGGUGGAUGCCUUGGCACUAGAAGCCGAUGAAGGACGUUACUAACGACGAUAUGCUUUGGGGAGCUGUAAGUAAGCUUUGAUCCAGAGAUUUCCGAAUGGGGAAACCCAGCAUGAGUUAUGUCAUGUUAUCGAUAUGUGAAUACAUAGCAUAUCAGAAGGCACACCCGGAGAACUGAAACAUCUUAGUACCCGGAGGAAGAGAAAGAAAAUUCGAUUCCCUUAGUAGCGGCGAGCGAAACGGGAAGAGCCCAAACCAACAAGCUUGCUUGUUGGGGUUGUAGGACACUCUAUACGGAGUUACAAAGGACGACAUUAGACGAAUCAUCUGGAAAGAUGAAUCAAAGAAGGUAAUAAUCCUGUAGUCGAAAAUGUUGUCUCUCUUGAGUGGAUCCUGAGUACGACGGAGCACGUGAAAUUCCGUCGGAAUCUGGGAGGACCAUCUCCUAAGGCUAAAUACUCUCUAGUGACCGAUAGUGAACCAGUACCGUGAGGGAAAGGUGAAAAGCACCCCGGAAGGGGAGUGAAAUAGAACCUGAAACCGUGUGCUUACAAGUAGUCAGAGCCCGUUAAUGGGUGAUGGCGUGCCUUUUGUAGAAUGAACCGGCGAGUUACGAUUUGAUGCAAGGUUAAGCAGUAAAUGUGGAGCCGUAGCGAAAGCGAGUCUGAAUAGGGCGUUUAGUAUUUGGUCGUAGACCCGAAACCAGGUGAUCUACCCUUGGUCAGGUUGAAGUUCAGGUAACACUGAAUGGAGGACCGAACCGACUUACGUUGAAAAGUGAGCGGAUGAACUGAGGGUAGCGGAGAAAUUCCAAUCGAACCUGGAGAUAGCUGGUUCUCUCCGAAAUAGCUUUAGGGCUAGCCUCAAGUGAUGAUUAUUGGAGGUAGAGCACUGUUUGGACGAGGGGCCCCUCUCGGGUUACCGAAUUCAGACAAACUCCGAAUGCCAAUUAAUUUAACUUGGGAGUCAGAACAUGGGUGAUAAGGUCCGUGUUCGAAAGGGAAACAGCCCAGACCACCAGCUAAGGUCCCAAAAUAUAUGUUAAGUGGAAAAGGAUGUGGCGUUGCCCAGACAACUAGGAUGUUGGCUUAGAAGCAGCCAUCAUUUAAAGAGUGCGUAAUAGCUCACUAGUCGAGUGACACUGCGCCGAAAAUGUACCGGGGCUAAACAUAUUACCGAAGCUGUGGAUUGUCCUUUGGACAAUGGUAGGAGAGCGUUCUAAGGGCGUUGAAGCAUGAUCGUAAGGACAUGUGGAGCGCUUAGAAGUGAGAAUGCCGGUGUGAGUAGCGAAAGACGGGUGAGAAUCCCGUCCACCGAUUGACUAAGGUUUCCAGAGGAAGGCUCGUCCGCUCUGGGUUAGUCGGGUCCUAAGCUGAGGCCGACAGGCGUAGGCGAUGGAUAACAGGUUGAUAUUCCUGUACCACCUAUAAUCGUUUUAAUCGAUGGGGGGACGCAGUAGGAUAGGCGAAGCGUGCGAUUGGAUUGCACGUCUAAGCAGUAAGGCUGAGUAUUAGGCAAAUCCGGUACUCGUUAAGGCUGAGCUGUGAUGGGGAGAAGACAUUGUGUCUUCGAGUCGUUGAUUUCACACUGCCGAGAAAAGCCUCUAGAUAGAAAAUAGGUGCCCGUACCGCAAACCGACACAGGUAGUCAAGAUGAGAAUUCUAAGGUGAGCGAGCGAACUCUCGUUAAGGAACUCGGCAAAAUGACCCCGUAACUUCGGGAGAAGGGGUGCUCUUUAGGGUUAACGCCCAGAAGAGCCGCAGUGAAUAGGCCCAAGCGACUGUUUAUCAAAAACACAGGUCUCUGCUAAACCGUAAGGUGAUGUAUAGGGGCUGACGCCUGCCCGGUGCUGGAAGGUUAAGAGGAGUGGUUAGCUUCUGCGAAGCUACGAAUCGAAGCCCCAGUAAACGGCGGCCGUAACUAUAACGGUCCUAAGGUAGCGAAAUUCCUUGUCGGGUAAGUUCCGACCCGCACGAAAGGCGUAACGAUUUGGGCACUGUCUCAACGAGAGACUCGGUGAAAUCAUAGUACCUGUGAAGAUGCAGGUUACCCGCGACAGGACGGAAAGACCCCGUGGAGCUUUACUGUAGCCUGAUAUUGAAAUUCGGCACAGCUUGUACAGGAUAGGUAGGAGCCUUUGAAACGUGAGCGCUAGCUUACGUGGAGGCGCUGGUGGGAUACUACCCUAGCUGUGUUGGCUUUCUAACCCGCACCACUUAUCGUGGUGGGAGACAGUGUCAGGCGGGCAGUUUGACUGGGGCGGUCGCCUCCUAAAAGGUAACGGAGGCGCUCAAAGGUUCCCUCAGAAUGGUUGGAAAUCAUUCAUAGAGUGUAAAGGCAUAAGGGAGCUUGACUGCGAGACCUACAAGUCGAGCAGGGUCGAAAGACGGACUUAGUGAUCCGGUGGUUCCGCAUGGAAGGGCCAUCGCUCAACGGAUAAAAGCUACCCGGGGAUAACAGGCUUAUCUCCCCCAAGAGUUCACAUCGACGGGGAGGUUUGGCACCUCGAUGUCGGCUCAUCGCAUCCUGGGGCUGUAGUCGGUCCCAAGGGUUGGGCUGUUCGCCCAUUAAAGCGGUACGCGAGCUGGGUUCAGAACGUCGUGAGACAGUUCGGUCCCUAUCCGUCGUGGGCGUAGGAAAUUUGAGAGGAGCUGUCCUUAGUACGAGAGGACCGGGAUGGACAUACCUCUGGUGUACCAGUUGUCGUGCCAACGGCAUAGCUGGGUAGCUAUGUGUGGACGGGAUAAGUGCUGAAAGCAUCUAAGCAUGAAGCCCCCCUCAAGAUGAGAUUUCCCAACUUCGGUUAUAAGAUCCCUCAAAGAUGAUGAGGUUAAUAGGUUCGAGGUGGAAGCAUGGUGACAUGUGGAGCUGACGAAUACUAAUCGAUCGAAGACUUAAUCAA
rnacentral:rRNA from 1 species